UCUCCUAGACAUGAGUACCUAAAUAUUCGGAGACAGUGAAUCACGAGCCGGCACGCUUUCCCCUGUACACCGGCGUGGCGAGGACGGCCGUGGCAGUGCGCGCCAAUAUGUAACAACUUUAAACCUUGCUUGCCCGGCCCAGCGCCCCGCCGGUCGACCGGUCCCCGGCUGCGCGCGCGUACCACCGGCCAGCAUAUACGCGGAUCGCGCGCUGCACUCACCCGCUCCGAGCGAUCUAGCUAGACACUGCCCGUGCCCGUAGCGACUGCAAGCUUUGGCGCCUAGUACUGUGGCCACGCGCCAAGGCUGCCGCGUCCGCGCGCUGCCGGCCGGCCGGCGCCAGGAAAACGGGAGGGGGCCUCGGCGCAGCUCGUACACUGGCACCGGGCUGGGCCACACCGGCGACGCGACGUGCCUUGGAGGCAUGCGUGCAUCGGCGCGCCCUUGAGUACGCGCGCCGCCUGCCAGGUCGGUCUGACUCCCGAUUUAAAUGGACAAUAUUAAGCAUCCAGUGGCGUUGCAUUGUUGGCUUAUACUACUGCAAUUUGCUGCUCCUGCCGGUCGGGCGGCCGCCGGGGCCCCGAUCGCCUCUCGCGGCACGGACUGGCCGAUCGAUCUUCUCUGCUCGAGCGACGUGCGCAGGCAGCGCAAUCCUGCGCCGUUACUGUAGCGGCAAGGCGGACAACGAAGAGGGGGGCAUCAUUUAAUUGGUACGAGCCUAGUGUCGCUACGGACUACAGUGCCCCUGCAUGUGACUUCAGCUAAAACACUAUGCUUCGUGUGCCUCUGGAUUCCAGUUCCAGGUAAAAAGUGCACGACGCAUGAUAGAUGUUGGACGAUUGCAAAUUUUAAAUUGGUCGAGGAGUAGUUAUGUCUAGAUCAAUCAAGCUAUACAUAACCUCGAUCAGUGGCGGAGCCAGAAGUGGAGAAGGGCGCUAAGGUGGAUCUGGUGGCGGUAUACUUAUGAUUAGUCCAUACUUAUGAUCUAGGUAGUCAAUAAUUCUCUUCUGAUCAUCUUUGCUAGGCCGGUGAUACAACACACGUGGCACAGGCCCUGGCUCCGCCCCUGACCUCGAUCUGUAAGGGAUAAUCUAUUUCAAAUCGACUGAUAAAUGAUUGUUUCUAUAUUGGCAGGCUCCAUGUUUUAUAAAUUGUGUACAUAUCUCGGAAAUAAGGGUUCUGGCUACUGCCCAGUAACCGCAUUUACCACCCCGCCUCCCCACAGAACUUAUUAAAAAAAAUUAUUUUGAAAAAUUAAAUUUAAGUGCUUACUAUAGGGAUUAUACCGGACAUCAUUUUUCAACGCAAAUGAGUGCUUGCUGUAGCGGUAGUUUCGCACCAUAUCUCAAUUCUGUGGGUUAAAAUCUACACUCCUUUCUUUCCGUGAAAGCAUAUAGAUUUUCUUGAUUGUUUUUUUAUAUUAGCAAUUUUUCAAACGCAAAUGAAUGCUUAAUGUAGCAUGUAGAUUUGAAAAUUUAAUUACCAAGAAUAGGGUACACUAAAUUGCUGCACAUCUUCAUUUUACCUUUUAUUUACCACAUUACCCUCUCCAGUUCACAUAUAGAUGAUGCUUCGAUCAAUAGUGUGUAUUCUUAAAAUAUUUAUAUUAGAAUCUAACAAAAUUAUUAAUUAUAUUAUGCAUGAAAGUGUUUUUCAAAGAAAUAUGUAUAUAUGAGUUUCACCUAUCCAACCAAAAUAUUUUAGAACUUAUAUAUUGUCAAAAGUUGUAAAGUGUGACCAAACAUGUUAUUCAAAACAACAAGCUUUUUAAGGCAGGAUCUUGAAGAUCGUUUGUAUAUGUCCAAGAAACAUCAUUGUAGCUGACAGAUGGGAGAGACAUGAAACAGUAUUUCAUUAGCAAAAAGGGCAAGCGAGUGGGACACGGAUGUCAUGUAAAUUGGUUGCACACCAAUCCUCCUAGAGAAUAAAGUAGACCCUGAUCUUCAGGACCAAAGCUUUGGUCCAAUGAUGAGAAGUGGAACGGGCACUCGGGGUGAUUUGAUCAUACGGCCGAAGCGUGUGUAUGCCAAAUUGCCAAUAGAUUGAAGCCGUGUACUGCUGACUCAUAUAUGCAUGGAGAGUGCAACAUGGAUUCAUGGAACAUGGAGAACAGAGACAAGCUUUUUUUUUCCCGAAUGACAGAACAGAGAAAAGUUAGUCUAUUUGUCCUGCUGAUGGUGCUGACUGGUGCCGUGACGGCAGGUUCCACCACAUCCAAAUUGUCAUCGACCUAAUUGUAAGGUUGAAGGCAACAUGGGCCAAGACUGCUCCAAGUAGCCUAUGUCAACAUCUCUACAUAUAUAGGAGUAUGUUGAUUGUCGAACAAAAAAAAUUGGCAAUGGGCCCCUGCAGGCUAGCUCGUGACAAAGAGUUGGGCAAUCUGGCGUGAGCGCACCGGGCAGAGUGACGUCCGUGACUGAAGGAGCCUUUGGAGGUUUGCAUUGCAUGGCUUAACCCGCAAGCUAGCAAAGCUCUCUCAAAGGGGAACUACAUGUUCUUAUUCCAUCGUUAUUCCCUCUCAUAUUCUUCGUCCCGUAUACCAAGCUUGGGAGGAAGAAUACCCGAGAAUAUAACUCCUGCAGAAUGAGUAGAGACGCUCUGUCCACAUCGUCAUCUCUCAAACGGAGAGACAGAGGACACGCUAAGAUACAAGACGUGGCCGAGGACGACAGCUAGCUAGCGAGGUCGCACGCUCGGAAACAAAUACUGUGUAUGUUUCUCAAUCCUUCGCAUGUCUUUCAGAGGCCUCUAGCACGUUGUUGCGCAUGCAGUUGCGCCCACACCUGUUAGUAAGGAUAUAUAGCAUGUAUCGGAGUCAGGCCGAGACGAGACGAUGUACUGAUAUAUCAGAAAAUGCAUUGUUAGA